AGAACUUUCCAGAGAUGGAUUGGUGCCUUCGGGAACUCUGAGACAGGCGCUGCAUGGCUGUCGUCAGCUCGUGUUGUGAAAUGUUGGGUUAAGUCCCGCAACGAGCGCAACCCUUAUCCUUUGUUGCCAGCGGUUAGGCCGGGAACUCAAAGGAGACUGCCAGUGAUAAACUGGAGGAAGAUGGGGAUGACGUCAAGUCAUCAUGGCCCUUACGAGUAGGGCUACACACGUGCUACAAUGGCGCAUACAAAGAGAAGCGACCUCGCGAGAGCAAGCGGACCUCAUAAAGUGCGUCGUAGUCCGGAUUGGAGUCUGCAACUCGACUCCAUGAAGUCGGAAUCUCUAGUAAUCGUGGAUCAGAAUGCCACGGUGAAUACGUUCCCGGGCCUUGUACACACCGCCCGUCACACCAUGGGAGUGGGUUGCAAAAGAAGUAGGUAGCUUAACCUUCGGGAGGGCGCUUACCACUUUGUGAUUCAUGACUGGGGUGAAGUCGUAACAAGGUAAGCGUAGUGCU
rnacentral:rRNA from 1 species